GCAGGUUGAAGCGCGGGUAAGACCGCGUGGAGGACCGAACCCACCUGGGUUGAAAACCGGGGGGAUGACUUGGGGCUAGGGGUGAAAGGCCAAUCAAAUUCCGUGAUAGCUGGUUCUCUCCGAAAUGCAUUUAGGUGCAGCGUCGGAUCGAUUACAUCCGGGGGGUAGAGCGACUGGAUGCUUGCGGGCCCAUAUCGGGUACCAACAGCAACCAAACUCCGAAUACCCGUGAUGCGUAUCCCGGCAGUGAGUCGGCGGGGGAUAAGCUCCGUCGUCGAAAGGGAAACAGCCCAGAUCGUCGUCUAAGGUCCCCAAGCGUGUGCUAAGUGGGAAAGGAUGUGGAGUCGCAUAGACAGCCAGGAGGUUGGCUCAGAAGCAGCCACCCUUGAAAGAGUGCGUAACAGCUCACUGGUCUAGUGGUUCCGCGCCGACAAUGUAGCGGGGCUCAAGCACACCACCGAAGACGCGGCAGUACUUUGUACUGGGUAGGAGAGCGUCCCAUGCGGGGCGAAGCGGCGGCGCAAGCCCGCCGUGGACCGCAUGGGAGUGAGAAUGCAGACAUGAGUAGCGAAAGACGGGUGAAGAUCCCGUCCGCUGGACGACCAAGGGUUCCAGGGCCACGUUCAUCGUCCCUGGGUGAGUCGGGUCCUAAGGCGAGGCCGACAGGCGUAGUCGAAUGGAUGAACGGGUCGAUAUUCCCGUACCGGCAUGCAACCGGCAAAACCGAAUCCGCGAGUACUAACCUCCGGGUCCGGGCUUACGUCUCCUUCGGGAGCCGGAUGCCCUGGCCUGUUGGGACCGUAACGGUAGUAGGUCAGCGCGGGAGUGACGCAGAAGGGUAGCCGGCCGCGGAGGUGGUCUUCCGUGGUCAAGCACGCAGCCCGUCCCACAGGCAAAUCCGUGGGGCGCGUGGGCGAGGUGCGAUGAUGGGCGCCGUUGGGCGCGAUAUCCGGUGAUCCCGGCUGCCGAGAAAAGCUUCGGCGUGAGGCGGCGUGCCGCCCGUACCCCAAACCGACACUGGUGGUCAGGUAGAGAAUACCAAAGCGAUCGAGCGAAUCCUGGUCAAGGAACUCGGCAAAUCACUCCCGUUCCUUCGGUUUAAGGGAGACCCCCGAUGGUGAAGCGGCUUGCCCGCGGAGCUUUUGGGGGUGGCACAGACCAGGGGGUAGCGACUGUUUACCAAAAACACAGGAGCGUGCGAAGGCGCAAGCCGCUGUAUACGCUCUGACGCCUGCCCGGUGCCGGAAGGUUAAGAGGAUCCGUCAGGCUUCGGCCGAAGCGGUGAAUUCAAGCCCCGGUAAACGGCGGUGGUAACUAUAACCAUCCUAAGGUAGCGAAAUUCCUUGUCGGGUAAGUUCCGACCUGCACGAAUGGCGUAACGACUUCCCCACUGUCUCGACCAGGAGCUCGGCGAAAUUGCAGUACGAGUAAAGAUGCUCGUUAAGCGCAGAAGGACGAAAAGACCCCGGGACCUUUACUAUACCUUGGUAUUGGCAUUCGGUGUGGAUUGUGUAGCAUAGGCGGAAGGCUUCGAAGCCACGGCGCCAGCCGCGGUGGAGCCGCAAGGUGAAAUACCGCUCUGUUCGCAUUGGAUGUCUAACCUCGACCAGUCAUCCUGGUCAGGGACAGUGCCUGGCGGGUAGUUUAACUGGGGCGGUUGCCUCCCAAAGAGUAACGGAGGCGCUCAAAGGUUCCCUCAGCCCGGUUGGCAAUCGGGUGGCGAGUGUAAGUGCACAAGGGAGCUUGACUGCGAGACUGACGGGUCGAGCAGGGACGAAAGUCGGAACUAGUGAUCCGGUGCCGGUGUACGGACGCGGCAUCGCUCAACGGAUAAAAGGUACCCCGGGGAUAACAGGCUGAUCAUUCCCAAGAGUCCAUAUCGACGGGAUGGUUUGGCACCUCGAUGUCGGCUCGUCGCAUCCUGGGGCUGGAGCAGGUCCCAAGGGUUCGGCUGUUCGCCGAUUAAAGCGGCACGCGAGCUGGGUUCAGAACGUCGUGAGACAGUUUGGUCUCUAUCCUCUGCGCUCGUCGGAAUGUUGAGGAGGCCUGCCCAUAGUACGAGAGGACCUGGGUGGACGAACCUCUGGUAUGCCGGUUGUCACGCCAGUGGCACGGCCGGUUGGCUACGUUCGG
rnacentral:rRNA from 1 species